CCCAGCUUACGGGAACGCGCUUCACUUUUCAAGUCUCUGCCUACAAAGCUGCCUUCAUCGGCCUGUCACCAGAAAACCACGACGUUACGGACAUGUACGAAAUCGUCAUCGGUGCAAGCUGGAAUUCAAGAUCGGCCAUACGCCGAGAAAAGCUAGGCCCCGAUCUCACAAAUGUCCCCACACCAGAUAUCAACUCGCCGUCAGAGUACAGGACCUUUUGGAUAAACUUGGCCUCAGACGGAACCAUUUCUGUCGGAAAGGGGGGUGACUCUCUGCCGUUCAUGUCGUGGACGGAUCCCAACCCGGUCCGCGUGUCUUACGCUGGGUACUCUACAGGCUGGGGAAGCGACGGGCUCUGGAAGUUCUGCUCGGAAACCGGUACAGUGACAACAGAGGACAUCUGAAGUGCAGGGAACCAACGGAAAGGAUGGUGGAGAACUUGAG